CCUACGGGAGGCAGCAGUGGGGAAUAUUGGGCAAUGGGCGCAAGCCUGACCCAGCAACGCCGCGUGAAGGAAGAAGGCUUUCGGGUUGGAAACUUCUUUUCUCAGGGACAAAGCACGUGACGGUACCUGAGGAAUAAGCCACGGCUAACUACGUGCCAGCAGCCGCGGUAAUACGUAGGUGGCAAGCGUUAUCCGGAUUUACUGGGUGUAAAGGGCGUGUAGGCGGGUAGGCAAGUCAGAUGUGAAAACCACGGGCUCAACCUGUGGCCUGCAUUUUAAACUGUGUUUCUUGAGUACUGGGGAGGCAGACGGAAUUCGUGGUGUAGCGGUGAAAUGCGUAGAUAUUAGGAGGAACACCAGUGGCGAAGGCGGUUUGCUGGACAGCAACUGACGUUGAGGCGCGAAAGUGUGGGGAGCAAACAGGAUUAGAUACCCGUGUAGUC
rnacentral:rRNA from 1 species